UUUGGAGGUCUGGUUUGUUUUUAUGUAUGUAUUAUUUCACUUUCUUGUGUAGGUGUGUAAAUGAAUGCGUCUUCUACAUCAUGGCAUGUGUCAAAUACACACACACAGAGGUGUCUCAACAGCCUGGGCAGCCCUUCUCUGUAACUUCAGCAAGGAAGCAAUCUGUAAGGGAACCUGUGCCAUGGUGCUAACUUCACAGGAGGAGACAUGGAGCAUGGACACAGAGCUGCCAGGGAAGGCAAUGAUUGUGUUGCCUCCUCUCCUUUUGCCAAUAUAGUGAAAUUUUGACACUGACUAUAACCACUUACAAAUUCUGUUAAGGGGUCAUCUUUUAUCCCUGCCCUAGGAAAGUUAGGUUCUCCACAUGAAUCUGCUUCUGGAAAAACCACUCCUGUCAGCCCCCUAGCUUACUCCGCAAGACAGCUGGCUCAGGUAGAAGCCUGAGGGAGCUUCUCCACACCUCUGUCCUAGAAAAGCACUCUUCAGGGAAGCCAAGAUCCGGUUCAACACAGCCUGAAACCCUCAGUCAUGCCUGUGUUGUCAUCAGGGGCAAGGUAAUGUCAGGAAAAAUGAAGAAGGAAACAAAGUGGGGGGGAAGGAAGAUUGAGUGCAAAGUCUGUGGUUGUUGAAAGCAAUUUCACAUCAAGUGGAAGAACCAUUCAUAGCAGUGUCUGUUGAACGUCUGCUGACUUCAGACCCUACAGCUUUACUGAGUCCUGAAACAAAAAACAAAACCCAGAAAGGCUCUGAGAGAGAUUUGUUUCUCUGAAAAAACUAAUGGCAAACACAACAUUGUCCAUUUUAGAAAUAAACUUCUGAAAUUAAAAAGCCUACUACUAUGGCUGCUAUUUGACACAAAACUGAAUUUCAUUAUUUUGGGAAACAAAACCUAAUCAGUUAUGUUAUUUCUGAGUCCUAUUCAGUGUUUGAUUAUGCAUCUUCUCUGCUGAGUAUCUUUUUGUUCUACAUUGCUUAGUUUUGUGGUGUCUUGCAUAGAUUUACUUUUUUGGAUUUCCUCUGAAAGGGCAAGUGUUGAAGACAGAACACAGCUACAAAAACAGUUGUCAUAUGCUUCAAAAGUACUUGUCAUUCUUUUGAUAUGGCUGUUAUUCCCAGUACUUAAAAGCUGUCUUUGAUGUAAUUGAGGCUUUUACUCCUCUCUAUCUAUUGGGCUUUUGAUCACCUCCUAAUUAAUGAAGUAAUGACAAUCAAUUAUAUUUACAUCCAACACAAAGCAUAUUGUUAAAUUUUUCCAUUACCACUUUCCUAUCUUGCAUGCUAACACAAUGUUGUAACCUUAACAUUUUCUGCCUCACUGCUGCUGGGAGCAUUAAUCAGUAAAGUUAUUUAUUCCAUUUUAAUGUUUUUAUUGACUGGCAAUUAUACAUGAAGAGAUGAAAUGUCUGCAUAACUCAUGACUCUCAUAAUGCUUCUUUCAAGCCAAGUAAAGUUAUUUCUUCCAUUUUAACAUUUUUAUUAACUGGCAAUUAUAUAUGAAGAGAUGAAAUGUCUGCACAACACCUGACUCCCAGGAUGCUUCUUACAAGCCAAGUUUUCAAAAUACUUAAAAUGUAUCAGGAUCCUAUUGUUUUGCUCUGGACAAAGCUUCAUUAAAGCUAUAGAAGGGAGCUACACCUCUCUCUACAGGUCUACA